AGCGAACGCUGGCGGCAGGCCUAACACAUGCAAGUCGAACGAACCUUUCGGGGUUAGUGGCGGACGGGUGAGUAACACGUGGGAACGUGCCCUUAGGUUCGGAAUAACUCAUGGAAACGUGUGCUAAUACCGAAUGUGCCCUUCGGGGGAAAGAUUAAUCGCCUUUAGAGCGGCCCGCGUCUGAUUAGCUAGUUGGUUGAGGUAAUGGCUCACCAAGGCGACGAUCAGUAGCUGGUCUGAGAGGAUGAUCAGCCACAUUGGGACUGAGACACGGCCCAAACUCCUACGAGAGGCAGCAGUGGGGAAUCUUGCGCAAUGGGCGAAAGCCUGACGCAGCCAUGCCGCGUGAAUGAUGAAGGUCUUAGGAUUGUAAAAUUCUUUCACCGGGGACGAUAAUGACGGUACCCGGAGAAGAAGCCCCGGCUAACUUCGUG
rnacentral:rRNA from 1 species